rnacentral:rRNA from 1 species
GACGAACGCUGGCGGCGUGCUUAACACAUGCAAGUCGAACGGAAAGGCCCUGCUUUUGUGGGGUGCUCGAGUGGCGAACGGGUGAGUAACACGUGAGUAACCUGCCCUUGACUUUGGGAUAACUUCAGGAAACUGGGGCUAAUACCGGAUAGGAGCUCCUGCUGCAUGGUGGGGGUUGGAAAGUUUCGGCGGUUGGGGAUGGACUCGCGGCUUAUCAGCUUGUUGGUGGGGUAGUGGCUUACCAAGGCGUUGACGGGUAGCCGGCCUGAGAGGGUGACCGGCCACAUUGGGACUGAGAUGCGGCCCAGACUCCUACGGGAGGCAGCAGUGGGGAAUAUUGCACAAUGGGCGGAAGCCUGAUGCAGCAACGCCGCGUGCGGGAUGACGGCCUUCGGGUUGUAAACCGCUUUCGCCUGUGACGAAGCGGGAGUGACGGUAAUGGAUAAAGAAGCACCGGCUAACUACGUG